AAAAAGUCACUCAAAGGCAAAUUUAACUCAAUUUGUGAUGUAAUUUAUUUCAACCUCAUUUACUACGGCACGUAUAAGAUAAACGAUUUGGAGCAUCUACACUUAAGGAGGAGCCUACAAGGGGCAUGGAGGCGUAGAGUCUCAAUAUAAUGAGUUGAUACUCUUCUCUAAAAUGGAGGAAGAAAUAGAAGAUGGGUUGGAAGCAUCUCUAAUCCAUCUUCUAAUAUUCAUUUUAAAGUAUUGAGAGCUCAAACAAAUCCUCUAAACAUUCUUCUAUUUAAGAAGAUGAUCAUUUGAUACUCU
rnacentral:lncRNA from 1 species